AGAGAGAUAGCUGGGUCAAAUGGUGGUUCCAUUUCCAGAUUUCUAAGGAAUAUCAAUACUUCUUUCCAUAUUGGCUGCACCAUUUUGAAGUUCCACCAGCAAU
rnacentral:pre_miRNA from 1 species